rnacentral:rRNA from 1 species
GACGUAAGGUGCGAGCGUUGUCCGGAUUUAUUGGGCGUAAAGAGCUCGUAGGCGGCUCGUCGCGUCGACCGUGAAAACCCGCAGCUUAACUGCGGGCUUGCGGUUGAUACGGGCGGGCUAGAGUUCGGUAGGGGAGACUGGAAUUCCUGGUGUAGCGGUGAAAUGCGCAGAUAUCAGGAGGAACACCGGUGGCGAAGGCGGGUCUCUGGGCCGAUACUGACGCUGAGGAGCGAAAGCGUGGGGAGCGAACAGG